GAUGAAGAACGCAGUGAAAUGCGAUAAGUAAUGUGAAUUGCAGAAUUCAGUGAAUCAUCGAAUCUUUGAACGCACAUUGCGCCCGCCAGUAUUCUGGCGGGCAUGCCUGUUCGAGCGUCAUUUCAACCACUCAGGCCCUGGUGCCUGGCGUCGGGGUUUCUUGCUUCGGUAAAAUCCCCUAGAAUCAGUGGCGGACCCGCCGCGGCUCCGAGCGUAGUAGUAAAAUAUCUCGCUAUGGAGGCCCGUGGGGGGAUUACCGGCCGUAAAACCUCUUCUUUACUGAAGAACUUCUCAAGGUUGACCUCGGAUCAGGUAGGAAUACCCGCUGAACUUAAGCAUAUCAAUAAGCGGAGGA
rnacentral:misc_RNA from 1 species